GAAGGUAUAACUCAAUGGUAAAGUGCGUGCCUAGCAUGCAUGAGGUCCUGGGUUCAAUUCCUGGUACUGCUA
rnacentral:tRNA from 1 species